GAGGGUCUCGCGGCCUAUCAGCUAGUUGGCGGGGUAACGGCCCACCAAGGCGACGACGGGUAGCUGGUCUGAGAGGAUGGCCAGCCACAUUGGGACUGAGACACGGCCCAGACUCCUACGGGAGGCAGCAGUGGGGAAUCUUGCGCAAUGGCCGCAAGGCUGACGCAGCGACGCCGCGUGUGGGAUGACGGCCUUCGGGUUGUAAACCACUGUCGGGAGGAACGAAUACUCGGCUUCGAAUAGGAGCCCGAGGGUGACGGUACCUCCAAAGGAAGCACCGGCUAACUCCGUGCCAGCAGCCGCGGUAAUACGGAGGGUGCGAGCGUUGUCCGGAAUCACUGGGCGUAAAGGGCGCGUAGGUGGCUCGGUAAGUGGCUGGUGAAAUCCCGGGGCUCAACUCCGGGGCUGCCGGUCAGACUGCCGGGCUCGAGCACGGUAGGGGCAGAUGGAAUUCCCGGUGUAGCGGUGGAAUGCGUAGAGAUCGGGAAG
rnacentral:rRNA from 1 species